UACGUAGGCAGCAAGCGUUGUUCGGAGUUACUGGGCGUAAAGGGUGCGUAGGCGGCUUUUUAAGUUUGGUGUGAAAUCUCCCGGCUCAACUGGGAGGGUGCGCCGAAUACUGAGAGGCUAGAGUGCGGGAGAGGAAAGUGGAAUUCCUGGUGUAGCGGUGAAAUGCGUAGAUAUCAGGAGGAACACCGGUGGUGUAAACGGCUUCGUGGACCGUAACUGACGCUUGAGGCACGAAAGCGUGGGUAGCAAACAGG
rnacentral:rRNA from 1 species